GAACGUUUUUAAAUAUUGUUCACCUGCAGUACCAUAGAUUCAAAAGUGUUAUGAUUAAAAGGAUGUUAAGUUACAUGGCUGCAUUUUUGUAAAACAUUGAAAUAAUGGUAUACUCAUCAUUAGUCUCAUAUUAACAAGUAUGAUUGUGCCAAGGAGAGAAAAGAAUGUUUUAGAUAAAGACUGUACUUUUAUAAAGAGUUGUAGAGAGACAUAUGAAUGUAGAUUAUUUGUUUCUAUGUAGAAUGAAAUGUUAGGUUUAACAUAUGAUCAGUACAUUUGAAGGAAACACAUGUGUAGUGCUGAGAUACAUAAAUGACAUGUAGACA
rnacentral:lncRNA from 1 species